rnacentral:rRNA from 1 species
AUACGGAGGGUGCAAGCGUUACUCGGAAUCACUGGGCGUAAAGCGCGCGCAGGCGGCUAUUUAAGUUGGAUGUGAAAGCCUACGGCUCAACCGUAGAACUGCAUCCAAAACUAUUUAGCUAGAGUGUGGGAGAGGAAGAUGGAAUUAGUUGUGUAGGGGUAAAAUCCGUAGAGAUAACUAGGAAUACCAAAAGCGAAGGCAAUCUUCUGGAACACUACUGACGCUGGGGCGCGAAAGCGUGGGGAGCAAACAGGAUUAGAAACCCGUGUAGUCC